ensembl:lincRNA 1700008K24Rik RIKEN cDNA 1700008K24 gene
AGUUAUUUUGCAGGAGGCUUCUCAGGGAUGAAGGCAAGCUGGCCCCUAGCUGAUCAGCUGGUUGGUGAGGACUCUUCACGAAGUAAGGGGCCAUUGUGAAGAUGGAAGAAUGCCCACAAAAUCCAGCUUGAAACCUGCUGGCUCUGAGGGUCCUGCUGGCUCAGCAGUGCUGUGUUUCUUCUGUCCUAACCAGAAAGUUACCCUUCUAUUUGCGGAGAGCUAUUGCCUAUCGGCCUGGACCAGCAGAUAACUCAGCACUCAUGAUCAGCUGUCAAGCUAUAACGGAGUGUUGAGGCAGUCCCUGAAACCACAGCGCCAUUUUGUAGGAACUAAGAAGCCAACCUCAAGGAAUCACUCGCCCCAAGAAGACUUUGUUCUGAUCUGAUGUGUUUCUAGCCUGGUGGAGCCUCAGCUAUCCAAAGGAAGAGCUGUUAAGAUGAUUGGAAUUUUGGUUUUUCCGAUUCACUCUUUUUUCUCUCCAGCCAUCUGCCUUAGACAGCAGGAGAAAAGGAAACUUAGCCUCAGAGGUGGGGUCCUUCGGAAGGACUGACAGUGGGCUAGCUCUCCUGCUGCUGGGAGCCUGAGUGCCUUUGGCUCCUUGUCCAGACCUCAGCUUUACCACGGAGGUUACCUGCUUACCAUCAACAUCGAAACUUGCCUCUUCCCCUGGGUGUAUUCUCCCUCUUUUGUGUACAGUUUGAUUCCUCCAAACUGCUCUCCCUGUGAAGAAAGCCGAUGGAAUUCAGGGAGCCUGGCCAGCCACCCAGGCCUUUAUAAAGGUCCUCGUACCACAGGAUGUAUGGGAGACCCAAUAAAGACUUUUGCAAAAUGCU